UACGUAGGGUGCUAGCGUUGUUCGGAAUCAUUGGGCGUAAAGCGCGUGUAGGCAGUUAGGUAAGUCGGGUGUGAAAUCCCUGGGCUCAACCGAGGAAGUGCAUCCGAAACUCCCUAGCUAGAAGACGGUAGAGGAAGGUGGAAUUCCUAGUGUAGAGGUGAAAUUCGUAGAUAUUAGGAGGAAUACCGGUGGCGAAGGCGGCCUUCUGGACCGUUCUUGACGCUGAGACGCGAAAGCGUGGGGAGCAAACAGG
rnacentral:rRNA from 1 species